rnacentral:snRNA from 1 species
CGGAUACUGCAAUCUGCAA